rnacentral:rRNA from 1 species
GUCGAACGAGAAAGUGGAGCAAUCCAUGAGUAAAGUGGCGCACGGGUGAGUAACACGUGACUAACCUACCCUGGAGUGGGGGAUAACUGAGGGAAACCUUAGCUAAUACCGCAUAACACCUACGGGUCAAAGGAGCAAUUCGCUUUAGGAGGGGGUCGCGGCAGAUUAGCUAGUUGGCGGGGUAAUGGCCCACCAAGGCAGUGAUCUGUAUCCGGCCUGAGAGGGCGCACGGACACACUGGAACUGAAACACGGUCCAGACUCCUACGGGAGGCAGCAGUGGGGAAUUUUGCGCAAUGGGGGAAACCCUGACGCAGCAACGCCGCGUGGAGGAUGAAGUCUCUUGGGACGUAAACUCCUUUCGAUCGGGAAGAUAAUGACGGUACCGAUAGAAGAAGCCCCGGCUAACUUCGUGCCAGCAGCCGCGGUAAUACGAGGGGGGCAAGCGUUGUUCGGAAUUAUUGGGCGUAAAGGGUGCGUAGGCGGUUUGGUAAGUCUUGUGUGAAAUCUUCGGGCUCAACUCGAAGUCUGCACGAGAAACUGCCGGGCUUGAGUGUGGGAGAGGUGAGUGGAAUUUCCGGUGUAGCGGUGAAAUGCGUAGAUAUCGGAAGGAACACCUGUGGCGAAAGCGGCUCACUGGACCAUAACUGACGCUGAUGCACGAAAGCUAGGGGAGCAAACAGGAUUAGAUACCCUGGUAGUCCUAGCCCUAAACGAUGAUCGCUUGGUGUGACGGGUACCCAAUCCCGCCGUGCCGCAGCUAACGCGUUAAGCGAUCCGCCUG